rnacentral:lncRNA from 1 species
CGAAAUAGGGAAAUUCCAAAUGAACAACAUCAAAGCAAUAUCCAAGGGAUAUAUCAGCAAUAUAAGUACAAUAGAGUGACAAUAGACACCUGAUAUGCAAUACAUAAGUAGUGUAAGGAUUACUAUUCACAAAUGAGUCUCAUGACACACCAAAAAAAAAAAAAAUUCCUUUUACCUCCCUUAAUUUGUCCAUCCCAUUUCUAUGUCUCAUACUUUCUCUAUGUUCUCUCCAUUAUCAGAGCAUCAUUAACAUGUUUAGUGUAGAACUUGGAUUUUAAGCCAGAAUAGCACACACGCACACAAAACUUCACAACAUUACGAAGACGAAUUACAUAACAAAAACACAGAUUGUUCAUUACAACUACCCAAUCC